rnacentral:rRNA from 1 species
GAUGAACGCUGGCGGCGUGCCUAAUACAUGCAAGUCGAGCGAACAGACGAGGAGCUUACUCCUCUGACGUUAGCGGCGGACGGGUGAGUAACACGUGGAUAACCUACCUAUAAGACUGGGAUAACUUCGGGAAACCGGAGCUAAUACCGGAUAACAUGUUGAACCGCAUGGCUCAACAGUGAAAGACGGUCUUGCUGUCACUUAUAGAUGGAUCCGCGUCGCAUUAGCUAGUUGGUAAGGUAACGGCUUACCAAGGCAACGAUGCGUAGCCGACCUGAGAGGGUGAUCGGCCACACUGGAACUGAGACACGGUCCAGACUCCUACGGGAGGCAGCAGUAGGGAAUCUUCCGCAAUGGGCGAAAGCCUGACGGAGCAACGCCGCGUGAGUGAAGAAGGUCUUCGGAUCGUAAAACUCUGUUAUUAGGGAAGAACAAAUGUGUAAGUAACUAUGCACGUCUUGACGGUACCUAAUCAGAAAGCCACGGCUAACUACGUG